GGUGAUGAAGAGACAGAUGCGCGCGAAGCGCAACGCCUGCUCGAAGAUGCGAAGGAAAUCGCCGAGCAUGUAAUGCUGGUGGACCUCGCCCGCAAUGAUUUAAGCAGGUUGUGCACUGAAGUUACGGUUACCCAAUACCGGCAGGUGCAGUAUUAUUCGCAUGUGAUCCACCUCGUAAGCGAGGUGACCGGCAAAGUGGCGGAUGGAACUAACCCGUUUGCAUUGAUGGCCGUAACCUUUCCCGCAGGAAUAGGGUUCGAAUCCGGAGAGGGAGCAUGAGAAACGGCUACCACUUCCAAGGAAGGCAGCAGGCGCGCAAAUUACCCAAUCCCGACACGGGGAGGUAGUGACAAGAAAUACCAUUGUAAUGUCUCCUAGAGAGGCUUACGAUUGGAAUGAGUACAAUUUAAAUCCCUUAACGAGUAACGAUUGGAGGGCAAGUCUGGUGCCAGCAGCCGCGGUAAUUCCAGCUCCAAUAGCGUAUAUUAAAGUUGUUGCAGUUAAAAAGCUCGUAGUUGGAUUUCGGAAGGUCCUUAGCAGUCCGCCCCUUCGGGGAGCGGGCUGCUGGCCUCCUAUGUUCCUAACGGUCCUCAUCCGCGAGGGUGGGGAAUCAACCGCUAGGAUCGUUUACUUUGAGGAAAUUAGAGUGUUCAAAGCAGGCGUAACUCGCCUCCGAAUACGUUAGCAUGGGAUAAUGGAAUACGACUUCGGUCUUGUUUCGUUGGUUUCGCUUGGCUGAAGUAAUGAUUGAUAGGGACAGUUGGGGGCAUUAGUAUUUAG
rnacentral:rRNA from 1 species